rnacentral:rRNA from 1 species
GAUGAACGUUGGCGGUGUGCCUAAUACAUGCAAGUCGAACGGUGAUCUUAUGGGAGCUUGCUUCCAUUUGAUUAUAGUGGCGAACGGGUGAGUAACGCGUUGGUGAUCUGCCUCGAAGUGUGGAAUAACGUUCCGAAAGGGACGCUAAUACCGCAUGUGCUCAAGGUUUUUAGAAAGCUUUGAGUAAAGGAUUUAUUCGCUUCGAGAGGAGCCUGCGUCCCAUCAGCUAGGUGGUAAGGUAACGGCUUACCAAGGCUAUGACGGGUAGGGGACUUGACAGGAUGGCCACCCACAAUGGACCGUAAACACGGACCAUACACCGACGGGUGGCAGCAGUUGGGAAUAUUAGAAAUGGGCGUAAGCCUGAUCUAGCGACACCGCGUGUGCGAUGAAGGCCUUCGCGUUGUAAAGCACUUUUUGCAAGGAAUAGGAAGCAAGGUGCUUCCAGAAUAAGUCUCGGCUAACUACGUGCCAGCCGCCGCCGUAAUAC